CCUUUGCAGGCUGUGUCCGCAGGAGCCGCUGCUUUUAGGUUAUUGCAAGGUGGCUUCCGAUGUUCGCGCGGUUCCGCGAUUAGGCUAUUGCUUCAGUUUAGCCAAAGCUCAAUCCUAUCAGCUGCUACUGCUGCAGUAAAAUCAAAAGCUUGCACUGCAACAAAUAAAGCAGUUUACUGUUGA